GGGAAGAGGACGAAAGCUCACACUGCUGCCCCAUGUCCGGCUGGUAGACGCGGUACAGGAGGAGGGCAGACGGAGCUCCAUAUAUCACUCAGUUAGGAACAGACUGUGGGUGUCUGAGCCCUCCCUGUGAGAGGAAGUGGUGGAGGAGGCCACGAACAGGCAAGCCCAGGCACGACAGGCCUCAGUUCAAAGCCCUGGACUCCUUGAAGCUCCAUUUCCUCUACCAUCCCCACAUCUGC